rnacentral:rRNA from 1 species
GAUGAACGCUGGCGGCGUGCCUAAUACAUGCAAGUCGAGCGAACAGACGAGGAGCUUGCUCCUCUGACGUUAGCGGCGGACUGGUGAGUAACACGUGGAUAACCUACCUAUAAGACUGGGAUAACUUCGGGAAACCGGAGCUAAUACCGGAUAAUAUAUUGAACCGCAUGGUUCAAUAGUGAAAGACGGUUUUGCUGUCCCUUAUAGAUGGAUCCUCGCCGCAUUAGCUAGUUGGUACGGUAACGGCUUACCAAGGCAACGAUGCGAAGCCGACCUGAGAGGGGGAACCGCCAAAGUUGGAAUGAAGACCGGCCCCGACUCCUAAGGGAGGGAGCAGUUGGGAAUUUUGGAGAAUGGGGGGAAACCUGAACGAGCCAGGGCGGGGGGGGGAAGAAGGCCUUCGGGUUGUAAAAAGCUUUUGAUAGGGAAGAAACAAUGUGGGAAAAAAAAAGGAGGGGAUGAAGGUACCGAAAGAAAAAGGCCAGGAUAAAUAAGUG